rnacentral:rRNA from 1 species
AAUGAACGCUGGCGGCAGGCCUAACACAUGCAAGUCGAACGGAUCCUUCGGGAUUAGUGGCGGACGGGUGAGUAACGCGUGGGAACAUACCCUUUGGUACGGAAUAGCCUCGGGAAACUGGGAGUAAUACCGUAUGUGGUCGAGAGACGAAAGAUUUAUCGCCAAAGGAUUGGCCCGCGUUGGAUUAGGUGGUUGGUGGGGUAAUGGCCUACCAAGCCGACGAUCCAUAGCUGGUUUGAGAGGAUGAUCAGCCACACUGGGACUGAGACACGGCCCAGACUCCUACGGGAGGCAGCAGUGGGGAAUCUUAGACAAUGGGGGAACCCUGAUCUAGCCAUGCCGCGUGAUCGAUGAAGGCCUUAGGGUUGUAAAGAUCUUUCAGGAGGGAAGAUAAUGACUGUACCACCAGAAGAAGCCCCGGCUAACUCCGUGCCAGCCGCCGCCGUAA